rnacentral:rRNA from 1 species
AUGCUGAGUGGUGUUGUACCUCCCAGUCUCAUGUGGUGCACUGAAUUGAAGACACCGAACUUUGCAACGAACAAGCUUGAGGGGAAGAUACCAGAGAGUUAUAAGAAUUUGCGGUCCCUGUCGCACCUCUCGCUUGUUGACAAUUGCUUCACCAACUUGUCAACGGCAUUACGAGUCUUGCAGUACCUGCCCAAACUGACGAGCUUGGUGCUCACCAAAAACUUACGUGGUGGUGAGACCUUGCCAAUGGAUGGCAUCAAUGGGUUCAAGAGCAUUCAGGUGCUUGUCUUGGCAAACUGUGCGCUCUCUGGCAUGAUCCCGCCUUGGCUGCAAAGCUUGGAGAGCCUCAGAGUUCUAGACCUUUCAUGGAACAAGUUGAACGGAAAGAUCCCGCUAUGGUUGGGCAAUAUGAAUAAUCUCUUCUAUGUCGAUCUGUCAAACAACUCAUUUAGUGGGGAGCUUCCUGAGAGCUUUACACAGAUAAAGAGUUUAAUUUCAAGUAAUAUUUCGAGUGAGCCUGCAUCAAUAGAGGACUUCCCGUUAUUAUUCAAGAAGAAUUCAGCUGACAAAGGUUUGCAGUACAAACAUGUCAGCAGCUUCCCGCCGUCGCUGAUCCUCUCCAAUAACUUGCUUUUUGGGCCUGUGUUGCGUGGGCUUGGCCAUCUUGUGAAUCUUCAUGUACUGGACUUGAGCUGGAACAACUUCUCAGGGGCCAUCCCUGAUGAGUUGUCAAACAUGUCGAGCCUGGAAGCUCUAAAUUUGUCCCACAAUGAUCUCAGUGGGAGCAUACCAGCAUCUCUAACAAAGUUGACAUUUCUGUCCAAGUUUGAUGUCUCUUACAACAAGUUGGCUGGAGAUAUACCAACAGGGGGCAAUUUUCCACAUUCGCGAAUGAGGACUUUGUGGGCAAUUCUGCACUCUGCCUUCUUCGGAAUGCCUCCUGCACUGAAGAGGCUCCAUUUGUGGAAACUAGAAAUGAGCAGCAUCGUGGUACGGAUACUGAAAUGCCUGCGAUGA